AGUAAUUAAGCACUAAAAGUGCUUUUGGGAGAGGAAAAGCUAAAAUUUUUAGCCUCUCCUCUUCAAGAAUGCUUUUGAAAAGCACUCCUGAAAAGGAGAAGCUAAAAAUUUCAACCAAAAGCAGUUUGUUUUGCACAACUUUUCUUCUAAAAGUGUUUUUAGAGUCAGAAGUGUUUUUUUUAAGCAAUGAAGAACUGGCCUUUAGGUUGGGAGAGAUUGAUGAACUUGGUCUCAAAGUUUCAGGUCUUUUCUCUUUCAAAUGCUUACAUGUUCACACUACCUAUAUCACUUGGGCUCAAGUAUGAAACUGUGAAUACAGAUAUGCAUCUAAUGUUGGACAUCGUUUCUUGAAGAACGGAAGCAACUUAGAUUUGAGGUUUUGCACCAUGAAAAUGUCAACUGGUCUUCUACUGGCUUCAGCAGGGGGUUGAAUGUCUUUGUAACAAGUUGGUCGAAUUUUUGGAUUGUGAAAGCAACAUGGAGGAUGAUCUUAUAUUGUUAACUCUUCACAUUGGUUUAUGAUUCGAAGAUUGUUCUUUUCGGAACUGUCCGAGGUUCAUAACAAUCACCAUCCACCUUCAAAAGACCAUGCCAGUGCCAAGCAAGUCAUUUUCGAACAUUAAAGAGCUAUUUUAUUCGGACUCAAAUGUAAGCGUCAGAUAUGAAUACAUGCUCAAUCAAGAAAAAAGGUGGAAGAAAGUCCAUUUCGAACACAUUGUAUUGCAGAGUUUGAAACUGAUUUGCUAAUGUGAUUGAAUUUCAGAUGUCGAUUCUGGGUUCUUAUUCCAUAUACAGAAUUUUGCUAGCAAUUUCAUUCCCUGUUUAAUUGUUAAUUUCUUGUAAGCUUAUGCCUAAAUUAGUCUCCAAAAAGUAGUUGACAUAGUUGGAGCUUUUAAGAACAUACGA